UGUGUGAGAGUGAUGUGUGUGAGAGAGUGCUGUGUGUGAGAGUGCUGUAUAAAUGUUAGAAUGGAUUGUGUGUGUAGGGGGGAGGGGGGUUAAAUAAAUAAAGUAGGCAUUAUGUCCCCCCCUCCCUUCUUACCUUUAGCCUGGGAGGGGGGGACCGGCACACUGAUCCCUGGGACUGGGAGGGGGGGUUCCCUGGUGGUCCUUGUGGUGAGAUCCGGUCGUUGCCAUGGCAACGCGACGGAUCUCGCGAGAGGAACCCGGCGGAGCUCUAAUUUAGAGCUCCGCCGGGUCCUCUCUCCUAGCGGCUGUCUCCCUCCCUCUCCCCCUGCCCGCGGCCGCAUUAUACAG